rnacentral:rRNA from 1 species
AUUGAACGCUGGCGGCAUGCCUUACACAUGCAAGUCGAACGGCAGCAUGGAGAGCUUGCUCUCUGAUGGCGAGUGGCGAACGGGUGAGUCAUGCAUCGGAACGUACCUUGUAAUGGGGGAUACCGUAGCGAAAGUGACGCUAAUACCGCAUACGACCUGAGGGUGAAAGCAGGGGAUCGCAAGACCUCGCGUUAUACGAGCGGCCGAUGUCAGAUUAGCUAGUUGGUGAGGUAAAGGCUCACCAAGGCGACGAUCUGUAGCGGGUCUGAGAGGAUGAUCCGCCACACUGAGACUGAGACACGGCCCAGACUCCUACGGGAGGCAGCAGUGGGGAAUUUUGGACAAUGGGGGCAACCCUGAUCCAGCCAUGCCGCGUGAGUGAAGAAGGCCUUCGGGUUGUAAAGCUCUUUCGGCCGGGAAGAAAUCGCACAGGCUAAUACUCUGUGUGGAUGACGGUACCGGCAUAAGAAGCACCGGCUAACUACGUGCCAGCCGCCGCCGUAA